rnacentral:lncRNA from 1 species
UUUCAACGAUUUCUAGGAUCGCCCUUUACAGCGCGCUUCAAGGUGCUGAACGGUACUGCCUACAAUGACGCAAAGGCAGGCACCUAUUUUGGGCCGGAAUACGUGAAAACCUUUGCCGAGAUGUUGGUUGUGGCAUCCUGUAAUAUCCUGGGCAUGUCAGGGGAUCUGCAUCGGUCAAUCGGUUCUUUUCUGAGGUCGUGAUAUGACACAUCUCGGCUUUACUAGCUUCCGAUUAUAGACUCCGGCAGCGACAGAUGACAAGGGCUUGCACUCCAUUCCUGAGGUGAAGAAAGCAGUAAAUUUAUU